UACGUAGGGUGCGAGCGUUAAUCGGAAUUACUGGGCGUAAAGCGUGCGCAGGCGGUUUUGUAAGCCAGAUGUGAAAUCCCCGGGCUUAACCUGGGAAUGGCAUUUGGGACUGCAAGGCUCGAGUGCGGCAGAGGAGACUGGAAUUCCUGGUGUAGCAGUGAAAUGCGUAGAGAUGUGGAGGAACACCAGUGGCGAAGGCGACUCUUUGGCCUGUAACUGACGCUGAGGCGCGAAAGCGUGGGGAGCAAACAGG
rnacentral:rRNA from 1 species